UCUUUAACAUAUGAAUAAAAGUUCUUCAACUUCCCUGUCUGACAAUUCUAACAUGUGUCAUGUCUGAGUCUGCCUGCUUUUUCUCUUCUGGUUGUGUUUUUCUUGCCUCUUCAUAUGACCUGUGAUUUUUUUGUUGAAAUCUGGCAUGACAUAUUGGGCAAUAGUAACUGAGGAAACAGGCUUUUAGUGUGAAGUUUUAUGAUACCCCGACUAGGAACUGACUGUGUUUCAUGCUUGUUGUAGCGAGUACCAGACUCGUCAAAUUCCUUCUUUGCUUGCCAUUGUCCCUCGGCCUUCCCCGGUGACUCCUCUGCAGAGACGUCUACUUCUUACAGUUCUUUCAGCUGGAAUCCACUGCUGGCAGGGUGGUAAAGAGUGUAGUGGGGAGGCACACGCAGUGAUCUUUGAGGCUGAGAGAAGCUGAGGAACUUCCUGAGAUCACACAGCGACUCCGUAACACAGUGGAGAGCUUUGUCCAGAUUGCCUGGUUCCAAGGCCUAAGCAUCACCAUCAAGGCAGACACAAGAAUUGAGGCUCGUUGUUGUCUCAGCUGAAUUAUGAAGGUCUGUAAAACAUCAGUGGCUUGAGGUCAAGGGAAAUGUGGCCCAGGCAUGUGGCUGCUGCCAGGAAGCCGUUUCAAUGCCAGUAAGAAGCGUGACAUUAGUUGUUCAGCUAUACAUCCACUCAACAAAGACCUGCUGAGAGCCUCUCAUCUGUCUCUCAGGUAUUGGGAUUUGGCAGCAAACCAAACAGGGAAGGUUGCUUUCUGAAUGCAGAAUUCAUCCUGAAGGGGAGAGCAGACAGAGCAGCAUAGAAAAGCAAUGCAGAUAAUUCUAGCAUGACAGAGAAAAUACAACAAAACAGUGAUCUCUGUGCAGGGGGAGUGGGGAAAGCCUCUCUGAGGGGGUGCCAUAUAAAUGACUGAGUCCUGGCUCACAGGGAGCUCAGGAAGAGCCUGGGACCGUGGUGCACCACCGGCAGAGGCCUGGCAUCAGAAAUGAACCUGAGAUGAGCCACAACAGCAAGAAGAUGGAAGCUCUAGGGCAGCAAAGAAGGGACCACGUGUAGGAAAUGGACAGUGUCCAUUCCAGAUGAAGCUCUGCUUCACCACGGUGCUGAGGAAUUUGGGGAGCCCAUCAGGGGACAUGAAGCAGGAAAGGUCACUCUACAUUUUACAGGGGACUGUUGGUGAGGAAGAGCGGGAACAGGGAGUCUAGUGUGAGAUUUCUUUUGAGAGGCCAUGCUAAGUUUCCAAUGGUUGCUGCAAGGUGGCGAAGGGGCUCGAACACAAAGGGUGCCAAGCAAUUUGUCCUGGUGCUAAAGGUAAAAUGUCCUCUUUGUUCCAUGUCCCCUGAAUCCUAUACCCUGAAAAACCAUUGCAUAUUCUGAGUAAUUCACCUUUGGCUCACUGAGGUUGUUUAGAAAGAGACAAGAGGCAAAGACACAUGAAUAUUUGUUCAGGUACCCAGAAGUUACUUGAGAAAGAGCGUUUGGGAGAAGGACAGAUGAUACAAUAGUCUCAGGAAAAGCUUCAGAAUUAUUUCCAAGUAACUAUUAAUACGUGAUGCAUGUCCUAGUUAGUCAAACCAAUAGAUACUGUUCAUGUACAUCUACCAGUGGGAGCUGAAAUCAAAUCCAAAUUUUACAGAGCAGCCUUACAAAUGCAUUUUGUAAUACAAUUAUUUUUCCAUGCAAGGAAAUGCCUGUCCUUAUAAAACAAGCACACAUUGUUUUUUCUGCUUACUUUCUCAAUUAUCACAAAUAGAUAAUUCUUUUUAACUAGAAGUGUUAAAAUAUAAAGAGAAAGGAUACUUUAUAGUCUAGAAAGGUUAUAUCCUGUAUGAUUCCAAUUUUAUACAUUCUGGAAAAGACAACACUGUAGAGACAGUGAAAAAUAAUCAAGGGUUUCUAGGGGUUCAUAAGAAGGGGAGAGCACUGAAUAGGUGAAACAGGUUGCAUUUUUUUUAGGGUGGUGAAACUAUUCACUAGAUACUGUAAUGGUGGGUACGUGGCAUGACACAUUUGUCAAAAACCAUAGAACUUUACAGAACAGGGGGUGAACCUUAAUCUGGAAACUUAAAAUUCAUUUAGAAAGUUGGAGAUCCCAGGAUAGAAUGCAGACGACGACACAAAGCAUAAAUGCAUUACAGAUGUGCAAAACAACCUCCCCGAAGGGGGUGGGAGCAAACCAUGAGCAGGGAUGCAGCUGGGAAGUGGGGGGUCUGAGCCGAAGCCAAAGCAACCUUCACCAGACUGCGCUCUGCUGGGGAAGUUUGUCCCCACACGGGCAUGCGAAUCAGUUCUGCCCCUGCUGCAUUUAUAUGGAUUUGAACAAUUAAGUAAAUGUCUGAGGAAUAUGGUGGGAGCAUGGAGGUCCCAGAUGAGCAGGGGAAGGAGGCUGGGUGAUCCACGCGGUAGCAGACUCGAGUUGGAAACCAGCAGAACUCACGUUUAGCUAAUACAGAUACAGGGGUUCGCAGAAAGAAAUACUUGCAGAUGCGUGUAAACACACAGGACAAUACACGCUCAUAGAUUACGUGCUCUGCCUGCUGAGAGAGCCUAAAGGAAAUAUCCCAGGAAGUAAGUGCGUCUAGUGCCCAGAUCUUGGUCUCUAAUCCCAUUCUUAAAUUUAAAAAGCCAAGGCUCCUUGGAUAAGUAUCUGGUUGUAGGACCGGAAUAUGGGAUAUACAACAUGUAUAUCUUGUAGUGUCAGAAAGUAGGCAAGUGCUCAGAAAAGAAGACCGACAUUGGUGGAGAGAUGCUAACAUGACACGGGAGCAAACCGAAAGAACUCCCAAAGGCCCAAGCCGGAAGAGUUUGAACAAAAAAAAUAGUUUGGGAUUAUUUUUAAAAGUAUAAGAUAAAUUUCCAGGAAUCCAUAAUGAUAUAAAUGAUUGAAUAAAUAAAUAAAUGGGGGAGAAUGGACAAAUCUCCUGUGAAGAACUCCAAAUAAUUUACGUGUGUCCUCUGUCCUCAAGGAAGGGAGGUAUAAUUCCCAAUGCCUUCAGCAGGGCUGUACAUAGUGACUUCUUUCCACAAAAUAAGGGGGAGGAGGGAACAGUAAGUGUUCAGUGGAGAAGCCUGGCUAACAUUACCUGGUCAGGGGGUCAAGGUCAGCAUCAGCAAUGAUAAAUCAUAUUGACAGUGUAGAACUUGACAGAAUGUGAUGAAGACGGCACUUUAAUUCUGUGAUCUUCCUCCUCCAGUGUAAAUAAGAGAGAAACAUCAGACAAAUUCCAACAAAGCCAUGGUCUACAAGAGUCUUCCUCAAAGCUGUCAUGGUUAUCAAAGACAUGGGAAGUUUAAGAAACUGUCACAGCCAAGUGGAGCCUAAGAAGGUGACAACUAAAUGGGAUCCUGGAACAGAAAAAGGACACCAGGCUCUGUGAUGCGGCGAGGUGACCGGAGCAGCCACUGGAGAGAAACAAGCCUCAGGCUGCUGGCCACAGAGGAGCUCCAGACCAGGACCGGCCCCAGUGGGUCCUGCCGAGUGAGGUGGCCAUCCCAAAGGGCGAUCAGCAUCCCCAAUGACGUCGCGCUUCCUUGAACCUUCAAGGAGCAGACAGAAGCACAGAUCAGAACAAAUACUCACCUCAAUAGCUUAACUUUUUAAAUAAUCGGUUGUACAAUUUAAAAAUUAAAUUAUUUAAUUAAAACAUUCAAAUUUAAAAUUAAAAAAAUGAGAAGUUUUUAAAAAUGAAAACAUCCGUUUAAAACAGAAACCUCUUGAUUACAGAAGAGUCAGAGGAUGGGACUCAUACUGAACGGGGCCACUUCUGUCUCUGCGGGCGUGUCAGCGAUGCGCACUGGGCCUCCAUCAGGCUCCUGCGCUGAGGGCAGGGGCUGUGGGUCUGACCCACCAGGGGAGCCUGGACACACACUUUCAC